rnacentral:misc_RNA from 1 species
AAGUCGUAACAAGGUUUCCGUAGGUGAACCUGCGGAAGGAUCAUUACCGAGUGCGGGCCCUCUGGGUCCAACCUCCCAUCCGUGUCUCUUGUACCCUGUUGCUUCGGCGGGCCCGCCUUCAUGGCCGCCGGGGGGCUUCUGCCCCCGGGCCCGCGCCCGCCGGAGACUCCAACAUUGAACACUGUCUGAAGGUUGCAGUCUGAGUUUUCAUAUAAGAAAAAUCGUUAAAACUUUCAACAACGGAUCUCUUGGUUCCG